GCAAGUGUAUAACUGGGACGCUGC
rnacentral:siRNA from 1 species